CAGAUCUUCAUAUCCCUUUCUCAUUUCACAAAAGCCGUCGUUCUCCACAUCUCCUUUUCUCAUUUUAGAUCCCUCUUUUGCUUUCCUCUCAAAUCAACAACCCUACAGACUACACUCUUAGGUUUUCCUCUCAACUUUACACUAAAUUGUAUUUCGCGAUGGAAGCUACAACUUCUGGAACUAAAUCGCUAGUGAUUGACAACAACCCUCCGAUUGCGCCAACAGAAUCUCAACAACAACAAGGUAAGAACAUUCCUCAU